GUGAGUUUAUCUGUAUCAUCUCCAUUUAUUUCUCAGGGGUGAUGAGAAGACUUUGCAUUUGACCAAAAAGCACUAGUAAAUAAGGAGUUAAAAUGAAGGCAGGCUCGCUGGUUUGCUGAGAUCUGUCAGAGUCUGACUGGCUGGCUACAUAUCUGUCUCUGGAACAAUAGGUACCUGUAUUCUGCACGGACUGCUGGGCAGCACUAGCACUCUGGAGAAGGUCUGCCGCUGUCUGCACUUUCCUGGUUCUAUGCAGGCAGAUGAGUGUCACAGCUGUAACUGAGGCACAGAGCAGUACACACAGUGGAGCCGAUUUCCGCGAUGGCGAGAGGGGGCACCGGAGGUGACAACAAUAACAAGACUGUCCUUCGGACAAGUUUUAGCGCUGAAUAUCUUCAGGAAAAUGGGUUCCAUGAGAAGUGACAUCCUCCUCGAAUCAAAAGGAAGAAUGACUUGGGCAAUACCAAAUGUUGAGUUAUCAAGUAUUUCGAUACCCAUAUGCAUCAUCUGCUAUUCUCAGGAUGAUGGAGUGAGUGAUGGAAUAGGUUGCCAACUGUAGUUACUCCACUCAGCACAGAAUGGCUGCGGGGAAAUAUAAUCAGACAUGCCCAAAGAAGUCUGCUUAGGGUGAAACAAAUACCUUUGAGGUUUAAAUCAGAAAGGAAGGAGAGACUGUUUCUACAGGUGUCAUACAAAAAUCAAUACUGAGCCAAGGAUUAUUGGAUCCCAUAGAACCACGGAGACUUGGUAGUGAAAUUCUUCCAAAGCAUUCCAUCCGUGCAGGCAGAUGGUGUUCCUAGGUUUGGAAAUAUAAAUCCCAUGGGAAGUCAGCUGAAGACCAUUUUAUGCAUCACUCAUCCUGUUAGAGCCCUGUGCUGUUCUGUCUCUCUAUAAGACUGGCUGAAACCACCACGGUUGUUUACAAUUUAUGCUCUAACUUUGGAUCACCUAGUUAAUACUCUAACUCCGAUUAUUACCAAAGACAAUGUUCUAUAAAAGAUAUUGUCUAUUAGAAGGAUGCUUCUGCAUUAUUAAUAAAAUCACAGGGAAAAUGCAACAUUUUGGAUGUCACAUCUGAUAAGUUGGCAGUUAAAGAACAGAAACAGCAAUAAGACUGCGUGGCUACAUUUUCCCAGUGCCACCAACUGGGAUUUAAGCUGACUAACAUUUUGAAAGCCCAGCCCAUUUCAUUCACAGCAGGAUGGCAGUGGGUGACUGAUCGUACCCGCCAGCUGGCUAAUGUCAUAAUUAACAAAGUUGCUACUACAUCUGCAAAGUUUAAUCGAAAAAUUUGCCAGUGAUAUGAUGGCCUUGUCACAGAGAUCACAAGGGACACGGAGUUGACUUUUGCUCAAGGUGGAACGACAGAGCUGUGUAGGCAAGAUGAGAAAUUGCGAACUUGUUCGGCCAAAGGAGGCUAAUAAUGAAGGGGCCGGGAAGGAGGCCAGUGCUACCAGGGUUAUCUCACAACCUCAGAUGCUGGAUAAGUCGACGGAGGCAGAAUCGCUUUGGGAUGACAUUCAGAAAGCCUGGAGUGAUUACUUGCAAGAGAAAAGCCUACCUAUUCUUUCCAAGGUGCAGGAAUAUUCCCCUGACCUGCUCAUCCAGUGGUCCAGUAAUGAAUUACUGGAGACCUGCCUUAGACAAAGAAUGCACUCGGAGCCCCAACACACCUAAAGCCAUGCUUUGAAGGAUCUGCCAAGCUCACUUUUAAUCAUGAGAAAGAAAUUACCCACACGGAGUCAGCAGAAAAUGAGAAAGUAGAGCUCGUGCUGUGAAUAAUUCCAGCAAGUGCCAAGGGGCUAGUUGAGGAAUGGCUUCAUGAGAACAUGCUCUAGGGGAACUAUUAAUAGCCCACCAGUCGGGUAGGCAGCAUUCAAUCCUUCUAUGCCUUCUUUCGCCACCUGUUGAGGUCUUUCUUCUGAAACAAAGAAGAAAUAGACAAAUCAGACUUGCCCUCUUGGAAAUGUGGUCCAGAUUUCUCUACUCCCAAGCUCCAAAAAAGGUAUACAUUGGAUGGGCUAGAUCAACUCCUCCUGAGAGCCAUAAAUCCGCCAAGAGUUGUUUUCCAUGUAAGGGUGUGGUACAAUGGGGAACACCUGAUGUUGGAGGAAAGCAGGAGGACUUUAGAGUGGAGUUGCAUUCUAAUCUCUCUGCCGCUUCAACUAUGUGACCUGGGGCAAAUGAUAUAAACUCUAUGAGCCUCUUUCCUUAUCUUUAAAAUGAAGAGAAGUAAUACCUACCUUGUAGGGCUGUUGUGAGGAUUAAAUGAAGUAAUGCAUACAGUGCCUAACAAAGUAUUUAACAUCAUAUUUUUUAAAAGCUCAUGAAAUAUUAGUUUUUCUUCCUUCCCCUCUUUCUAUUUUCUCUCCUGUUCCCUUUUCUCUCCCUCCUCUGCCCUCUCCUUCCUUCAGAUGUUAGUCUAAAACAGCACCUUGGAUCUAAGCAGCACCUUUGAGAAAGAAAAGACUGCUUCAAGAAUGUCUAGUUGCACCUCCUUUCCGUAUGUGGCCUAAAUGCCUAGGUUGGAUCAAUAGUUUAAUUUUUUUAUUGAACUGUUUAAUAUUGACUAUGGACUUACAUUCACUUUUACUGUUUUCUGUAUAUUUACUUUUGCUUGAAGUGUUUUAAUAUUGACUAUUUACCUCUGCUCAUUUUUAUUGAUUUUCUGUAUUUUUUCAAUGAAAAUUAUAAUAAAAAUUAUUUUUGUUAUCUUUUGUCUAUUUCCUUUACACAAUGG
rnacentral:lncRNA from 1 species